GCCCAGACUCCUACGGGAGGCAGCAGUGGGGAAUAUUGCACAAUGGGCGAAAGCCUGAUGCAGCAACGCCGCGUGAAGGAAGACGGUUUUCGGAUUGUAAACUUCUGUUCUUAGUGAAGAAUAAUGACGGUAACUAAGGAGCAAGCCACGGCUAACUACGUGCCAGCAGCCGCGGUAAUACGUAGGGGGCAAGCGUUAUCCGGAUUUACUGGGUGUAAAGGGAGCGUAGACGGCAGCGCAAGUCUGGAGUGAAAUGCCGGGGCCCAACCCCGGAACUGCUCUGGAAACUGUGAAGCUGGAAUGCAGGAGAGGUAAGCGGAAUUCCUGGUGUAGCGGUGAAAUGCGUAGAUAUCAGGAGGAACACCGGCGGCGAAGGCGGCUUACUGGACUGUAACUGACGUUGAGGCUCGAAGGCGUGGGGAGCAAACAGGAUUAGAUACCCCUGUA
rnacentral:rRNA from 1 species